rnacentral:lncRNA from 1 species
AAAACACGAGAACUCACAUUUUCUUCGGGAUCAUGAUCUUAUCAAUUGCCUGCAAACCACUAUCACAAAACUCAUCAAACCGUACUAGACUGUACUUCGCCAUUACCGUAGCAACAAAAUUAAGUCCCGAGAUCUAAAAGAACUUUCAGAAUCAGAUAACUUAACCUUUUAACAUUUAUUAGCAGUGGCGUGUAUUCUCACAAAGGGGGUAUCGAACACGUUAUGGGCUUGGUAAAAAGGCUAAUAUUUGGUGGCUCUAAGUGUUUCUGGUUCUCAAACAGUGUAAAACGGAUGCAUGUCAUUAUGCGAAAUCACAGUGAGACACAGACCAACUAGGAGGUACAUAGCUUCCCUUAAGCUCGGAUCACACUAACCAACACGGACCCCGAUCGAAACAUUAAGUACCCUUGAUGCUUAUGAAUAUGACUAAAAAUAACCUGACAUUUCCGGUUCCAAUCACUCUCCUUUCCCGCUCUUU